GGGGAUUUAGCUCAGUGGUAGAGCGCUUGCCUAGCAAGCUUUAGGCCCUGGGUUCAGUCCCCAGCUCCG
rnacentral:tRNA from 1 species